GACAGAGGGGGCAGGCGUUGCUCGGAAUUACUGGGCGUAAAGGGCGCGUAGGCGGCUUGACAAGUCACUUGUGAAAUCUCCGGGCUUAACUCGGAACGGCCAAGUGAAAACUGUCAUACUAGAGUGCAGAAGGGGCAAUCGGAAUUCUUGGUGUAGCGGUGAAAUGCGUAGAUAUCAAGAGGAACACCUGAGGUGAAGACGGGUUGCUGGGCUGACACUGACGGCUGAGGCGCGAAAGCCCAGGGGAGCAAACGGG
rnacentral:rRNA from 1 species